rnacentral:tRNA from 1 species
AAGAAGUUUAUGACAUGGGGAUAGCUGCUAACUAAUCCUCAAAGCGGUUAAAUUCCGUUUGCUUCUUU